rnacentral:rRNA from 1 species
UACGUAGGUGGCAAGCGUUAUCCGGAAUUAUUGGGCGUAAAGAGCGCGCAGGUGGUUGAUUAAGUCUGAUGUGAAAGCCCACGGCUUAACCGUGGAGGGUCAUUGGAAACUGGUCGACUUGAGUGCAGAAGAGGGAAGUGGAAUUCCAUGUGUAGCGGUGAAAUGCGUAGAGAUAUGGAGGAACACCAGUGGCGAAGGCGGCUUACUGGACUGUAACUGACGCUGAGUCACGAAAGCGUGGGUAGCAAACAGGAUUAGAUA